UCCUUGUUUUAGCUCAUUUCCUUCUUCUUAUUCAAGCAGAUCGAGGCUGUGUGCUUCUCAUCUUAGGGAAGAAUAUAGCAAGAUGGCAGCAGAAAAAAAUCAGACUCCAAAAUCUAAGUCUUCAGUCCAGGGAUAUAUCCUGAGCUUCAAGUUUCACAUAGCCACCUUCCUACCACAAAAUUCUCAUUUGAAGGCUCUACUCAUUAUCUUUUCUCUGUAAAAUUGCUCUUAUGUUCCUUAUCUCAACGUAUCACAUGUCCAUCCAUCCAGUAUUCGAGGUCAUAACUUAAGAAAACAUCUUUAUCCAAACAAUCACCGUGUCCCAAACACCCCUGAAUCCAUUCAUCUCUGCACCUCCAUUGCCACCUUCAUCUUUCGUCUCAGUUAAUGUGACGGCCUCUGAUCCUAUCUUUUGCCUUCAGUCUUUCUUCUCCAAUUUAUUCUGAAGUGUAAACCAGAUUGUGUGGUUUUUUUUUAAACUUAAAUCCUUUAGCUUAUUUCCCACAAUUCUCAAGGAUAAAAUCACUUCCAAAAUCACUCAAGUCAUCACGCCAGCCUGCCUUUCAAGCCUCAUCCUCACAGUCUAUACCUGCCCUUCUUUCCCAAAUGGCAUGCUUUCUCUCACUAAGCAUUUACACAUCUUGUCUGAAAUUCCUAUCUGCAUAUGCUAAAUGCGUGCCAAUUUUUCUAAUGGGUUGUUUUGACGUGAACUGAUUACCAGAGUGAGUGCAAGUUCAAGAGCUUGACAGGGGCACACCUCUGUGCAACUCAGGCUCAAGGUGAGUGGCUUUGACAGGACAGUUCUCAUUCUAAGACAGAGCAUUCUAAAUUAUCCUUUCAAAGAUAGUUCCUCUCCCUAUCUUCCACCAUCCAUUUUAUUUUCCUUUAAUUUCUAUGUCAUGCCAUUGUUUCCUUC
rnacentral:lncRNA from 1 species